CACCACCAGGAAACGACGCCACAAGGUGGGUUGGACGGGAAGUGAGCCCCCGAAUAAACGCUCCGACGGGAAACUGGCGAUGGACAACGUUCCGACAGCACACGUGACAAGCACGAGAGGGCGACAUCGUGUCCCGCCCCGCCUAAUCCAAUCUGCGAGACGUCCCACGAUUCAGAGCAGGACACGCCUCGCUGCAAUAUGAUUGGCUGUUGUAUGAGGAAGUAACUGGAAGAACUGGGAGUCAUUUCUGUUGAAGUGGUACGUUCGUGGCCGCAUCCGUGAUGACGAAUGGGUUUUGUGUGGAGGUGAGGAUGGCGGGGCCGAGGCUGAAGGCGCCCUGG